AUUGAACGCUGGCGGCAGGCCUAACACAUGCAAGUCGAGCGGAUGAAGGGAGCUUGCUCCUGGAUUCAGCGGCGGACGGGUGAGUAAUGCCUAGGAAUCUGCCUGGUAGUGGGGGAUAACGUCCGGAAACGGGCGCUAAUACCGCAUACGUCCUGAGGUCGAAAGUGGGGGAUCUUCGGACCUCACGCUAUCAGAUGAGCCUAGGUCGGAUUAGCUAGUUGGUUGGGUAAAGGCCUACCAAGGCGACGAUCCGUAACUGGUCUGAGAGGAUGAUCAGUCACACUGGAACUGAGACACGGUCCAGACUCCUACGGGAGGCAGCAGUGGGGAAUAUUGGACAAUGGGCGAAAGCCUGAUUCAGCCAUGCCGCGUGUGUGAAGAAGGUCUUCGGAUUGUAAAGCACUUUAAGUUGGGAGGAAGGGCAGUAAGUUAAUACCUUGCUGUUUUGACGUUACCAACAGAAUAAGCACCGGCUAACUUCGUG
rnacentral:rRNA from 1 species